AAGUCGUAACAAGGUCUCCGUAGGUGAACCUGCGGAGGGAUCAUUAUUGAAUUUUCAACACAGAAGGGGCUUCUCUAGGGGGGUCCUUUCUGAACAAACAAACAUACAUGACUAGGAACAGAGAGUUUGGUGUGCUGUGUGUGUGUGUCGAGUGAGACAUCAACAGCAAAAGAAAAGUUCUUGGCUGAUAAAGUAACAUUGGUUUGGAAUGUACAAUCAAUACAACUUUCAACAACGGAUCUCUUGGCUCUCA
rnacentral:misc_RNA from 1 species